CGGACAGGGAUAGUCCGAUAGUGCAAGCCAGACAUUACACGACUCUGCAGGACAUGUACAAGAAACCAAAACCCAACCAAGAUGCUGUCCCCCAAAUCCUUGAUCUUGAGUUUCAAUCACGAAGAGCCAUUAUUGACAGUGCCCUAAAAGAAGAGGACAGGCCAACAGACUGUCAACAGAAGUCUAUUCAUGUUUCAAAGAUCUUCAUCAUGUAAUGGGUGAGCUGCAGAGGAUCUUGGCCAAUGGUAACCACAAAUUCAUUGAUGAAGUUAAGAAGAAAUGGGAAGACUUCUGCACCAAGGUGCAAUUUUACGGCGUUUGGAAGAAAGCUAUGAAGCCACCCAUGACUCUGGAUGCAACGGAAUCUGCCAUAGCGCUCUACAGGGCACUUCCCACACUCAUUCCAUCACCAGCUGCACCACCCAAAAAGCUGGGACAUGCCGGUGAGGCAUUGCUCCAUGUCCUUCAGCUAACAGAAGAUCCCGCCAUCUUCCUCCAGAAGAGAUCUCUCUCCAGCCCUGUUUUGCUCUUUGAUGGGUCCUGCUGUGUUGUUGCCAUUGGAACACCAUACACCACAUUUCCAAAGGAAAAUCUCAGUGAAGGUCUGCUUUAUCUGAUGGCUUACUACUACAUGAUGCAUCUUACUUACCCCAAGUGUGUGGCCACCCUUCUGUCUGUCAUUCAGACAGAAAUAUUACAGAACGCCAUCCAUGAGCGAGACGCUACAGCCUCAUAUAAAAGAGCCAUGGCAGAAUGGAUGGAUUUUAUUGGGAAGUAG
rnacentral:lncRNA from 1 species